rnacentral:rRNA from 1 species
CCUACGGGAGGCAGCAGUGGGGAAUAUUGGACAAUGGGCGAAAGCCUGAUCCAGCAACGUCGCGUGAGGGAUGACUGCCUUCGGGUUGUAAACCUCUUUCAGCAGGGACGAAGCGCAAGUGACGGUACCUGCAGAAGAAGCACCGGCCAACUACGUGCCAGCAGCCGCGGUAAU